rnacentral:lncRNA from 1 species
GGAUGCUUCAGUGGACGCGUUCCUCAACGGUGACGCAACUCAGGAUGGUGGUAAUCCAAUGGACCUUUGGAGCUUUGAUGAUCUGCCCGCAAUUGUUGGGGGAGUUUUUUAAGCGAUGAACCUUUCCCCACCUUUCUAGUUUAUGUAAAUAAAGCUACAUGUUAGUGAGUUUUUCAGUCCUCUGUGAGCUUCUACAUUGUUUCAUUAUUGGUCUCGUGUUCGCUCCCAUUUUCUCCAGAAAGAGUUGUCGGUUUCCUUUACUUGUGCUUGCAGGAUGUGUUUCGGGUUGGAGUGCAACUGUGUAGGCUGUUGAACAUGCAUAAGGCCUGUGCGGGGAGUAUUUUAAGCCGUAGCUAAUGUCAUAUGGAGAGCGUAUAGGUAUUAGGUUUACUUUCACCUCCAAAGAGCUUGAACUUGUGGUUUCUCAACUUUGAUGUUUGUAUUGAUGAAAUUGUGUGAGCUAUGAUGGAAUACUGAAACCUCAUAAAUCUGUACUUGUUUAAAUUUAUUCAGGUCUUUCAUUUUACAAGAGGCCGUCAGAUUUUGCAUUGCUUAUUAGCCUUGGUAUUUAGUUCAAUGUAUUAUUGACUUGGUCUUUGGAGAGAGAGAGAGAGAGAGAGAGAGCAGAUGAAAUUAGCUUAUUGCAAGUGGCAUGGAAUUGGUUGUACCGUCCAGGUUUUAUGGUUUAACAAAUGCAUGCAUGUCUGCCACUUGUUUCUCUCUAUCGUGAUGGGUAAAUUGACCGUCA